GUCUCUCUCUCUCUUGAGGGAGAAGGGCUUGGCUGCUAGGGAGCUUGAGAGAGUACCUGAGGUGGAGCAGGGCUGGGGAGCUCCGGCCUGGAAACCCCCAGGCUGCAGGCCAAGAGUAAGGCCAAGAGAAGUCAGCUGCAGCUGCUGUCUCCAUAGCAAUCCAAAGAAACACAGGCCCCACUGGGAGCCUGUUAUGAAAAUGUGAGACCCGACAAACAGCUACUCAGGGGGAAGAGAUGACAGACCGGGUCAGCUUUGCAUCAUAUAAAUGGACUGCUGAAAAGAGGAAAGCUUCAGAAGGCAGAUCAGCAGAUGCAACAUGAAGAUACAAACUAUUGGAUACCCAAACUAUGUGAGAAUAAAGAUGGGCUAAAGUCCAGAUCCAACCCCUCCCAUCCAAAUGUCUGAGAGCAUUUCAGAUCUGGAUCUGAACUUUGAGGCACUCGCCUGCAGUUCUGCCCCUGCUUUAAGUGCGAAGAAGAAGACAUCUCCUGUAGAGACAGAGUCCCAGGCUGCAAUGAUACACGCGAGUUGGGGUUGUCCUGUGUUCAUUCCUUUUUUAACUACACAACUGUUAAGGUUACUUUCCACAGCAAGAAAAGGGGAAACAGGCCCCUACCCCAGCCCCUUAACCCUGCCCCUAAGAGAGCCCCUGAUCCCUGACUUAUUCCAAGUCUCCACCCAGCAUUUUCAAAAUACCCUUGGACACAGUUUGUGAAGCCAGGUGAACAAAAUCCAUAGAUGGUACAGUAGCUGCACUGCAGAUCCCAUUUCACUGCCCCCCGCGGGGCCUAAUAGCACCGCGGCUUAUUUGAAACAUCCCCCACCACCUCCUCUCCUAACCCACUUUUCAACAUGUCCUGCUCCUCUGUGUGCAUUUAAAAUAAAGCAAAACUCACUCAUGCCAAGUUUGUGGCAUUUGCUGAUGGGA